rnacentral:lncRNA from 1 species
AACAAAGAUCUGGAAGAAACAAAAAUAACCCCACAUGGUUUAGAAAUAGCUUCCGACUUUGUGAAUGUAUUUUGUAUGGUGAAGCUUUUGCACACCUCUAGACUCUUCAUCAUAGUGAAACUUCAUAUUGGAGAGACAUUUUAUGAAUGUCAGCAAUGUGGUAAAGCCUUCGUAUAUCAUAGUCACCUUUGAAUAUAUAACAGAACACAUAUUGGAGAGAAAUCUUACAAAUGUGAUCAAUGUGAUAAAACCUUUCACAAGGUUUUAUGUUAUGAAAACAUAAAAGAACACAUCUCAGAGAGAAACCCUAUGGAUAACCAAUGUGGUAAAGACUUUGCAUGUAGCAGUAGUCUUAGAAACCAUUGGAAAAGAUCAUAAUGCAGAGAAACCCCAUAAACACAAUCAAUGUGUUAAAGUUUUGCACUUUCUGGUAUUUUUAAAUGAGAACAAACU